rnacentral:lncRNA from 1 species
GCGGCAGCAGCAGCGGCCCCUGGAGCAGGGCGCCUGAGCUGAGCCCCCCGGCCGGCGCGGCGGCCGCGAGGCGGCAUGGAGCAGGCGGGCCGCGGAGGCGGAGGCAGCGGCAGCGGCAGGCAGCCGGCGAGGCGCUGAGCUGGGCCCUGAGCCGCAGCCGGGCUCGGGGGCCCCUCGGCCAUUCCGGGCGCCCGGCCGGGAGAUUUUUACUUAGAGAAGAUUUCACAGGGACAUCUACAGAAUGUCAUAAAUCAUGA